rnacentral:rRNA from 1 species
AUUGAACGCUGGCGGCAUGCCUUACACAUGCAAGUCGAACGGUAACAGGUCUUCGGACGCUGACGAGUGGCGAACGGGUGAGUAAUGCAUCGGAACGUGCCCAGUCGUGGGGGAUGACUGCUCGUAAGAGCAGCUAAUACCGCAUACGACCUGAGGGUGAACGCGGGGGACCGGAAGGCAUCGCGCGAGUGGAGCGGCCGAUGCCAGAUUAGCUUGUUGGUGGGGUAAAGGCCUACCAAGGCAACGAUCUGUAGGUGGUCUGAGAGGACGACGGGCCACCCUGGAACUGAGACACGGCCCAGACUCCUACGGGAGGCAGCAGUGUGCAAUUUUGGACAAUGGGCGCAAGCCUGAUCCAGCAAUGCCGCGUGCAGGAAGAAGGCCUUCGGGUUGUAAACUGCUUUUGUCAGGGAAGAAAUCUUCUGGGCUAAUACCCCGGGAGGAUGACGGUACCUGAAGAAUAAGCACCGGCUAACUACGUG